UUCCGCUCUUCUCGCGUAGAGU
rnacentral:snRNA from 1 species